rnacentral:rRNA from 1 species
UUAAACGGUAGGGUAUUGGCCUACCGUGGCAAUGACGGGUAACGGGGAAUUAGGGUUCGAUUCCGGAGAGGGAGCCUGAGAAACGGCUACCACAUCUAAGGAAGGCAGCAGGCGCGCAAAUUACCCAAUCCUAAUACAGGGAGGUAGUGACAAGAAAUAACUAUACAGGACUUUUUGUUACUGUAUAAGGAGUGAGUGGUUUUCCCCC